GAUGAAGAACGUAGCGAAAUGCGAUAAGUAGUGUGAAUUGCAGAAUUCAGUGAAUCAUCGAAUCUUUGAACGCACAUUGCGCCCCUUGGUAUUCCAUGGGGCAUGCCUGUUCGAGCGUCAUCUGUACCUUCAAGCUCUGCUUGGUGUUGGGUGUUUGUCUCGCCUCUGCGUGUAGACUCGCCUCAAAACAAUUGGCAGCCGGCGUAUUGAUUUCGGAGCGCAGUACAUCUCGCGCUUUGCACUCCUAACGACGACGUCCAAAAGUACAUUUUUACACUCUUGACCUCGGAUCAGGUAGGGAUACCCGCUGAACUUAAGCAUAUCAAUAAGCGGAGGA
rnacentral:misc_RNA from 1 species